AGCUCCGUUUUGCUAACUUGCAUCCAGCACAGUGGAGCGCAAGCGGUGCGUCAACGACAGCCGCAGCUCCCGCUCUCUUCAUCGACUCUUUCUCUCUGUGUUUGUUUCCGUCCUCUUUUCCGCUCUUCCCUGCUUUCGACCCUUCACGCAUAUCCCUUGCGGACGCUGGCGUGCCUACCACCGCGACUAAGGCAACCGCCGUCUGCAGUGCCUCCUCCUCCUGAUGACCGCGCAGUGGCUGCUGGCGUGACGACGCUGUCUCUCUGCUCAGGAAUCGUGCCCGCGCUUUUCUUUUGCACCCCAUCGGAGGCGCUGCUGCGGGUGCCGGCGCCGUGUGUACGGCCGCUUACCUUUUCCUAUCUCUGCUCAGCACUUGGCCCUUUGCCAUGUCGAGCUGCACCCAUCCCACCUCUGCCCUCUUCGUGGAUCGGCAGAGUGGGCGCACGACGUGCACCCUCUGCGGCGAUGUCGUCAUGAGCGACCAGUACGAGCUAGACCCUAUCUUCGCCCAGAGCGGCCGACAGCCGGCGAGCGGCGGCGGCCUUCGCGGUCUUGCCGGCAGCUUCCGCCCCGCCACCUCGCAUACGGGCACCAACACGAGCAUGACCCACUCUCACUCCCGCCCCACCAUCGACAAGGCUCGCCGAGAGAUGCUGAACAUCAGCCGGCAGCUCGAGAUCAGCGAAGAUACGGUGGAGCGUGCCCUCGGCAUAUACAAGGUGGCACUCAACCUGAACGCGGUCUCCGGCACACGGCCAAGUGUGCUAUGCGCUUGCCUUUACGCAGCCUGCCGGCGUGAGCGCACGUCGCACGUUAUCUACGACUUCUCCGAGGUCAACGGCGAGGACCCGCACACGAUCUUGUCGCAAAUGAAGUACAUCUGCCACGCCACCCACACUGAGGUACCCGUGAUCGACCCGUCGUGCUACGUGCAGCGGUUUGCCGAACAGAUGGACCUCGGACCGCAGACGACGGACGUGGUUGUCUGCGCUCUCAAGGUGCUGCGUGCUAUGCAGGAUGACUGGAUUAGCUGUGGCAGGCGACCGAUGGGUGUGUGCGCUGCUGCUCUGCUUGUGGCGUGCUACGUCUUUGGCAUUUCACGCACCCCGGAGCAGGUGUGCGGGAUGGUGCGACUCACGUCCAACACAAUCGGCAAGCGCCUGACCGAGUUUGCGGCGACGCCAACGGCGCGUCUGGAGAACAUCGACGACUAUCAGCCGUCGCACGAGACCUUGCCGCCAGCCUUCAAUGACUCGAGCCGCAAAUCCACCGAGGAGGACGUGCACGCGAGUAUGCGGGAGCUGUCGGCCAUCUUCUACGAGCUUGUCUCCGAGGCGAAGACGUCGCAGCCCGCAACGCCGGAACGGUGUGACAAGUGGCGCCGCUUCAUCAUGAAGCACUGCGAGCUGGAGGGCAUCACGCCGCUGGAGGAGAAUUUGGAUUUGAAAGGGCUGUCGCCGGCGCAGCAGCUGCACAUUUUGGGUCUGCCGCACACGAAGCCCAUCCCGCUGGAGGAGGUGGUGCGCAGUGUUAAAAGGGAGGAGCAUCGCCUCCUCGUCAAGCGUGAGACGUCUCUUCAGAACGGCAGCGACGCGGGCGGCAGCAUGGGUGGUGCCCGGCAGGGGGCAGCCGCGGGGCUGCUGAACGAUGCCGAUGUGUCGUCCAAUGGUAUUCCUCUUUAUCUGCUGCCCGACGAGUCGUUGGUGUCCUCGCUUGCAAAGGCGUCGCCAGCGGUGGGGUACGCCAACGACGGAGGUAUGCACUCUGCGCCGGCCGCCGUUGGCGCCGCCGCGAUGGAUUCGCCGGAGCAGCUGCGGUGGAUGACGGACGAGUACACGCGGCUGCUGAACAGCAAUGCGGAAGUGAUGCACCUGCGCAACGACUUCGACUUUGCUGACGAGGAUGACGCCAACGGGGUUGGUGGCAACUCUGGAGGCGGCGCGGUGGCCCUGCCUGUCAGUCACCCUACUCAGAACCAGUCCUUCAGCUGCGGGCUCUCGCAGCUACGCGGCGGCAGCCCCCCGCCGGGAACCCCUGCAGAAAAGGAUCCAUUCGGGUUCUUUGACCGCGACGACGAGGGGGUCCGUCUAGCGCUGGAGGAGAUUCUCUACGACCGCGAGCGGCGACACGCCCUGCCGUGGGAGUUCCUUGUGCUGCCGCGGGUCGAGGAGGAUGACUGCACGGACAUCCUGCCCUACCUCGUGCUGGACAACGAGGAGCGCCUCCGACGCGAGCGCAUCGGCGUCUCCCUCUACGGCGAAAAAUGGAAGCGCGGGCGCGCACGGACGGAUGAGGAAAUCCAAAAGCUGGAGGAGGCGCGAGCCUCGAAGCGGCGCCGGCGCAGCGUUAUUGCCGAGCCCGCGGUCGACGUACCAACGGCGAUGGAGCGCGCGUUGCGCGGCCGCGGCGCUGGCACGGUGAACAUCUCCCAAAUUGAUGAGCUACUUCCUGGCAUGUUGGAGGGCCUCGAGGAUGAGCCGCACGCGGACUGGGACUGACAAAUACGCCGCCAGAGUAGGGCGGGAAGCAGCGUACACAGAGGUCGGCACAGCCUUGCUGUCCUGCAUCCUCUGCUCGUGGCCGUUGUGACCGCGUUCGCGUGUUUGCUUGUGUGCGUGCGUGGCCGGCGCGGAAGAAAAAGGGGAGAGCAGCAACGACGGCGCGUCCCCACGUCCGCCCACUGGCGGGGCGGGGCGGCUUCCGGUGUAUGAUGUGUUCCGUAAGGGCAGCUCUCAUUGAUGCAGGGUCAAAGUCGUCCCGCGCUGUCUCUCUCUCUCUCGACAAGG
rnacentral:misc_RNA from 1 species